CUAGCAUAUCAUAAGCGGAGGAAAAGAAACUAACAAGGAUUCCCUAGUAACGCGAGUGAAGCGGGAUGAGCUCAAAUUUAAAAUCUGGCUGGCUUACUAGUCCGAAUUGUAGUUUAUAGAAGCGUUUUCGGUGGCAGCCUGGGUAUAAAUCCUUUGGAAUAGGGUAUCAUAGAGGGUGAGAAUCCCGUCUUUGACUCAGUGCAUGCUACUAUGUGAUACGUUUUCAAAGAGUCGAGUUGUUUGGGAAUGCAGCUCAAAAUGGGUGGUAAAUUUCAUCUAAAGCUAAAUAUUGGCGAGAGACCGAUAGCGAACAAGUACCGUGAGGGAAAGAUGAAAAGAACUUUGAAAAGAGAGUUAAACAGUGCGUGAAAUUGUUGAAAGGGAAACGUUUGACACCAGUUAUGCGGGUGGAAAAUCAGUCUUUUGCAAUGGGGAGUUGUGGGCGUUCAGACCGCAAGGCUGGCGUUUGCUUCAUCUUUGUUGUAAGUGAUGCACUUUUUCAUUUGCAGGUCAACAUCAGUUUGCUUUGCUGGACAAAACCCCAAGGGAAGGUGGCAGCUUAGGCUGUGUUAUAGCCCUGGGGCGAUACAGUGGAGUGGACUGAGGUUUCGCAGUGUGUGCUCUCGGGCAAGGCUGACUGGGUGCUAUGGGAUCGUUCGGCGUACAAUGCAUGCAUUUUGCGUCGUGUCUUUUUCAUACUCGCUCAACUCGGCUCUUCCACGCUUAGGAUGUUGACUUAAUGGUUUUAAACGACCCGUCUUGAAACACGGACCAAGGAGUCUAACAUAUAUGCAAGUGUUUGGGUGGCAAACCCAUGCGCGUAAUGAAAGUGAACGUAGGUGCGAUCCGCAAGGUGCAGCAUCGACCGAUCUUGAUAUUUUUGGAUAGAUUUGAGUAAGAGCAUAUAUGCUGGGACCCGAAAGAUGGUGAACUAUGCCUGAAUAGGGUGAAGCCAGAGGAAACUCUGGUGGAGGCUCGUAGCGAUUCUGACGU
rnacentral:rRNA from 1 species